CCCAAAAAUACCUUUAAAACCCUUUUGGCAGAAGGCUGGUAAGCAGGUCCCUCUAAAAGCCUGGAUGGGGCCUGCUUGCCAGCCACCUGCCAAAAGGGUUUUAAAGGUAUUUUUGAG